UCCCCUCUACACCCGAAUGGUAGCGGGCAAAGGGAUAUAAGUCCACACAAAGGCCUGGGAGCGACGGCGGUUCGAUUCCGCCAAGGGGAGCCA
rnacentral:tRNA from 1 species